CCUGAGAAACGGCUACCACAUCCAAGGAAGGCAGCAGGCACGCAAAUUACCCACUCCCGGCACGGGGAGGUAGUGACAAAAAAUAACGAUACGGGACUCAUCCGAGGCCCCGUAAUCGGAAUGAGUACACUUUAAAUCCUUUAACAAGGAUCCAUUGGAGGGCAAGUCUGGUGCCAGCAGCCGCGGUAAUUCCAGCUCCAAUAGCGUAUAUUAAAGUUGUUGCAGUUANNNNNNNNNNNNNGGUUCUGUGUCCCGCGCUGUCGGUUCACCGCCUGCCGGUGCAACUGGCAUGCCGCGGGAUGUCCUGUCGGUGGAGGUCGUGACCCACGGCGCGUCCAGGCUCGUCUCAGGGCCGAAACGCGCCGAUGUGUGUCAGGCCGCCGAUUCAAUCCUGCCGCGGUGCUCUUCACUGAGUGUCGAGGUAGGCCGACACGUUUACUUUGAACAAAUUAGAGUGCUCAAAGCAGGCUGAAUUCCGCCUGGAUAUUGUUGCAUGGAAUAAUGGAAUAGGACCUCGGUUCUAUUUUGUUGGUUUUCGGAAUCCGAGGUAAUGAUCAAUAUGGACAGGCGGGGGCAUCUUGGCAAAUGCUUUCGCGGUGAAAUUCUUGGAUCGUGCGAAGACGGACUAGAGCGAAAGCAUUUGCCAAGUAUGUCUUAGUUGAUCAAGAACGAAAGUUAGAGGUUCGAAGGCGAUCAGAUACCGCCCUAGUUCUAACCAUAAACGAUGCCAGCCAGCGAUCCGCCGAUGUUCCUCCGAUAGCUCGGCGGGCAGCUUCCGGGAAACCAAAGCUUUUGGGUUCCGGGGGAAGUAUGGUUGCAAAGCUGAAACUUAAAGGAAUUGACGGAAGGGCACCACCAGGAGUGGAGCCUGCGGCUUAAUUUGACUCAACACGGGAAACCUCACCAGGCCCAGACAUUGGAAGGAUUGACAGAUUGAUAGCUCUUUCUUGAUUCAGUGGGUAGUGGUGCAUGGCCGUUCUUAGUUGGUGGAACGAUUUGUCUGGUUAAUUCCGAUAACGAACGAGACUC
rnacentral:rRNA from 1 species